rfam:Solanum tuberosum cultivar DM 1-3 516 R44 scf00701_9, whole genome shotgun sequence.
UUGUCAUGUGUGCGAGUCAACGGGCUAGUAAACCCAUAAGGGAUAAGGAAGCGGAUUGCUGGGAUCCUUCUGAGGGGUGCACCGCUGACCGACGAUGAUCUUCUGAGAAGGGUUCGAGUGUGAGCAUACCUGCCGGGACUCGAAAGAUGGUGAACUCUGCCUGAGCGAGGCGAAUCCAUAGUAAACUCUGGGGGAGGCCCGUAGCGAUACUGACGUGCAAAUUGUUUGUCUGACUUGGGUAUAGGGGCGAACACUAUGUAGAACCAAAAUAAAACCCUG